rnacentral:lncRNA from 1 species
UCUCAACCCCCUGACAACAGGACUGUUCACCUUUAUACCAAGAAGGCUGGGAAAACACCAAAUCCUCAUGUGGUGUGUGCCCAGGCAGACUUCCAGGGUGUCGUGCUGGGAGACCUAAAGUCCUUGUGAGAUUGUCUAGAACAGAGCAAGGUCAGCAGAGCCGGAGGGAGUCAAUGCAUGCUGAGUGUGUCCGAGACAGGAUCAAGAGUGCUUCCUUAUUGAGGAGCAGAGAAUCGU